GAUGAAGAACGUAGCGAAAUGCGAUAAGUAAUGUGAAUUGCAGAAUUCAGCGAAUCAUCGAAUCUUUGAACGCACAUUGCGCCCGCCAGUAUUCUGGCGGGCAUGCCUGUUCGAGCGUCAUUACAACCCUCAGGCCCCCGGGCCUGGCGUUGGGGAUCGGCGGAAGCCCCCUGUGGGCACACGCCGUCCCUCAAAUACAGUGGCGGUCCCGCCGCAGCUUCCAUUGCGUAGUAGCUAACACCUCGCAACUGGAGAGCGGCGCGGCCAUGCCGUAAAACACCCAACUUCUGAAUGUUGACCUCGAAUCAGGCAGGAAUACCCGCUGAACUUAAGCAUAUCAAUAAGCGGAGGA
rnacentral:misc_RNA from 1 species